rnacentral:rRNA from 1 species
AUCAAAAUCCCUAGAUCGGCUCCAUUCACCAUCGGGCCUGGCAUAUCUCUCUCUCCCUCACCCAUCCUUCUCCAACUCCGGCCGCCGCCACGGCCAGGCCGACGUGGUGGUGCGCCUUCGCCUCCCAUCCAUCCACCAGCGCCACCAUCUUCUUCUCCUUCCCCGAAUCCACCAUCAUCCAUCCACACCACCGUCACCAGCGCCACCAUCUCUAGCCACCAGCACCACAGCGCCUCCCCACACCUCACGCAACCCACCAGACAGAUGGUCGGAGGCGUCUGAUGCCCCUCGCGAUUCUCCUCCCCAAAUCUGAACUGCUGCUGCUCCUCCACCUUUCUUCUUCCCCCAAAUUCUGUUGCUGCUCUCUCUCUGACCUCCCCACGCCUCUGUUCUUCUUGCCCAAACCUUGCUGCUACUCUUCUUCUACUGCGCCCCCUUGCUGAUCUCUCACGCUGCUGCUCAUUCCCUCAUCACUCUGUUGUUUUCUUCUUCUCCUGUCGCUGCCCUCUUCUAUCCUUGCCUCUAGUUGCUGCUCCUAAUCUUUUCUGAACCCCAGCCUCCUAUUCUUUCUUCUCCCUACCUCGCUGCUGCUCUGCCCUCUUCUCUGAACCUCUCCUCUUCCUCCCAACGCCCCUUGCUGCUUCUUCCUCCUUGCCUGCUGCUACUCCUCCCCCUGCCUCGCUUCUUCUCCCUCAACCUCCUACUGCUGCCUUAUCUCUCUCUCUCCCUCUCUAAAUUUCUGUAGUAUUGCGAGAUGUUUAAGACUUUGUAAGGUUCAGAUUCGUAGAGUACUUAAAACAUGUUGUUUUCUCAGUUUCGUACUUGUUUUCUAGAGUGUAUGUGUUCAGUUUCAGACUUGUGUUUGUAGUGUUACAUGGUGAUCUGUGAGCUGAACCGUGGCAUGUGUCACUCAGUUUGUAUGCUUGAUAAUUAGCUAUAUAUAUCCCCUGUUCAUUUCUUGCUUAAGAACCUUGUUACAUUGUGUAGUAUUUGUGUUAGCAGUACGUGUGAUAUAUUUAUAUACACGUUUGUGCGUGUCUUUGAUGUGAUGCACUUUAUGUUUUGUCCUACAUACUUGUUUCUUCCCUCUAUUAAUGUAAAAUAGUUAUAUAUAUAUAUGUCCAUGUCUUUUCAACUCCCUAGCCGUUGAUGUAUGCUUGUGUUAGCAUUUUAUUUGUCAACUAAAAUAAAAACACAAAAAAUAUACAUUGAGUAAAAUCUGAAUCUACCUUUGCGCAUCUGCAUUUUCUUUGGCGACAACCCUGUUUAGUUUAGUUUUACUUUUUUGCAUUCAUCACCCGAAUCGUGUUACCUAGCUUUAGCCGAGCAUAGUCAAUGUCGCCUAGUCCCUGUGGGGAACAUGACACUCGUAGUUUGGGGCGUAAAAACCCCGCUAUAUUAUAAUAGACCAUUUUGGCGCCGUUGACGGGGACUAGCGUCGUGUGACUGUGUUAGGCUAUAGACUAGGUUUUUCUUGUUUUCAUUUUGUGACAUCUAUAUGUGAUAUAUCUCUAACCACUAAUCCUUGUUCUAGAUCAUUUUCUUUCUGUUUUCUUUUAUUUUGGCAGGUUAGAACUAUCUUCUCGGUUAUGCUUACUAUUCAGAUCAUCAGGCUUAUGCGAGCAACACUACAAACAGCAUGGAAAGUAUUGAAGAACUGAUAAGUAAGAUUUCCCAUCAAUUAGAUGAUUUAGCUCAGCAGCGAGGAGUAGUUUUUGAGGAUAGGCCUGGUUCUUAUUAUCCUUAUUCCGGAGGCAAUCCUUAUAUUGCUCCUACAUGCCAUAUUUGUGGAUUUCACGGCCAUUCACCCGCUCAAUGUCAGCAUGGUUAUUCUCACACUCCAGAUUGUUUUGGCAUGAGCUUCGCUCAAGAGCAUAGCUCAUACCAAAACAAGUACUCACAUGGGUGGCCUGAAAACCCGAAUAUGUCAUAUAGGAGCAACAACCCUGAGAUCUCACCAUUUGCUUCUAGUAAUCAUAUGCAGGGAUUUAGGUAUGAAGAGGAGAGCCACAAUUAUGCUCCACAACAGUCUUAUUCAGCUCCUAUUCAUAUACCUCAGCACCAGGAGAUGUUGCCAAUGGAGUUAAAUGGUCCUCCAUUUGGUCAACCAACACCUUCAACACAAGUGCCUACUCAAGAUGAGUUCGAUGACAUAGACAAGCUCGCACUUUUGAGUCUCGAGUUCACUUGGAGUGCCGAGGAUGAUCCUAUUAGGAAGGUUAUACUAGAUGAAAUGAAGAAUAUCAAGAGUGGGAAUGAGCUAGUGGAAGAAGUAAAGAAGAUUGAGAAGAACAUCAACGCUGGCAGUACUAUUUCUUCACAGCUUGAGGUGCCUUGAGCAUGAGAUACCUCAGAUUGAAGAAGAUGAACUAGAAAAAAAGGAACAAGAUGAUCAAGAGCUACAAUUCCCAAGUGAUCAAGUUGAAGACUCAUCAUCUACUACUCCUGAAGAAGUACAAGAAGCUGCUAUAGAUGAAGAUGAAGAACCUGAGAUUCAUUUUCCUAUUGUCAUACCAGAGCGUGAUGUGUCAGGUUUAUCUAAUCCUCUUAAUUACAUGUCUUCAUAUGAUUUGUUUGCUACUACCUUGCAUUGCAUGAUGCCAUCACUUAAGGUAUAUUUGAAAAACUAUUUGCUUGGACAUGAUCAUACACACCCUGUUAGUGGCAUUGCUCAUAUCUCUGUUCAUGAUACUUAUGUUCCUAUUGCUAUACCCAUGCUUAAUGAAACGUGUGAUUCUAAUACUAGCAUUGAGCUUACUGAUUUGUACCAUCCUAAACAUGUGCUUUAUAGCUAUGCUUAUGUAAUUGGAUAUUCGAUUGAUGACUUGGAGGGUAUUAUCCCUACCACUUGCAUUGUCUCUCUCGUUGAGUGCUCUUUCAGGUUUUUGCUUGUGCACGAUCCAUUACAUGCUGACCAAGUUCGAGGUGACAUUCCUUGGGACCCUGGUGGACUCGGAGCAUGGGGAUGAGGAGAAGCAAGGGGGCACACACGAGGAAGGGAGAAGCUGGAGCAGGCAUGAGGAUAGAGAAGCAAAAGGAGAGGAGCUGCAAUUGGUGAGGUGAUCGAGCGAGUGCUACUUCAUUAAGCCCGAUAAGUUCAACAAUGGAGUGGCAUGGACUAAAAGAUGUGGGAACUCCUUCAAGGUGCUCAGGACAAAAGAUUGGCUCAAGCUUCAAGCUCAAGACUCUUCAUUUUAUAUUUUAGUGAUCCAAGAUCACAUUGAGUCUAUAGGAAAAGCCAAUACUAUCAAGAAGGGAUGAGGUGUUGCUCAAUGUGUUUCUUGCUCCACAGUGCUUAGUGAUAUGCUCCAAAACCCUCAACUACUUUCCCACUUCCCCACAUAUGACCUAAACCUAAAGUCAAACUCGGCCAUACUGAUUCUUUCUAUCCGGCGCCAUCGAGUUCAGAUGUCAUAGCCACUUCCACAAACCCUAAACAAAUCGGUCUCACUGAUAGGGAUCUCGAUCUCACCGAGCUGGGAUUGUAAUCUCUCUGUGUAUGUCAUUUACCAAAAUCGUUCUC